rnacentral:rRNA from 1 species
GACGAACGCUGGCGGCGUGCUUAACACAUGCAAGUCGAACGGAAAGGCCCUGCUUGCAGGGUAUUCGAGUGGCGAACGGGUGAGUAACACGUGGGUGAUCUGCCCUGCACUUCGGGAUAAGCCUGGGAAACUGGGUCUAAUACCGGAUAGGAGCCAUUUUUAGUGUGAUGGUUGGAAAGUUUUUUCGGUGUAGGAUGAGCUCGCGGCCUAUCAGCUUGUUGGUGGGGUAAUGGCCUACCAAGGCGGCGACGGGUAGCCGGCCUGAGAGGGUGGACGGCCACAUUGGGACUGAGAUACGGCCCAGACUCCUACGGGAGGCAGCGGUGGGGAAUAUUGCACAAUGGGCGCAAGCCUGAUGCAGCGACGCCGCGUGGGGGAUGACGGCCUUCGGGUUGUAAACUCCUUUCGCUAGGGACGAAGCUUUUUGUGACGGUACCUAGAUAAGAAGCACCGGCUAACUACGUG